UACCAGCUCUCCGAGUGGUGUGGAUGUUUAUUGGGCCUAAAGCAUCCGUAGCUGGCUGGACAAGUCCCCUGUUAAAUCCACCGAUUUAAUCGUUGGUGUGCGGGGGAUACUGUUCGGCUAGGGGACGGGAGAGGCCGACGGUAUUUCCGGGGUAGGGGUGAAAUCCUAUAAUCCCGGGAAGACCACCAGUGGCGAAGGCUGUCGGCUAGAACGCGCCCGACGGUGAGGGAUGAAAGCUGGGGGAGCGAACCGGAUUAGAUACCCGGGUAGUCCCAGCUGUAAACGAUGCAGGCUAGGUGUUUGGGCGGCCACGUGCCGCUCUAGUGCCGCAAGGAAGCUGUUAAGCCUGCCGCCUGGGGAGUACGGCCGCAAGGCUGAAACUUAAAGGAAUUGGCGGGGAGCACCACAAGGGGUGAAGCUUGCGGUUU
rnacentral:rRNA from 1 species